UAGGGAAUCUUCCGCAAUGGGCGAAAGCCUGACGGAGCAACGCCGCGUGAGUGAUGAAGGUCUUCGGAUCGUAAAACUCUGUUAUUAGGGAAGAACAAAUGUGUAAGUAACUAUGCACGUCUUGACGGUACCUAAUCAGAAAGCCACGGCUAACUACGUGCCAGCAGCCGCGGUAAUACGUAGGUGGCAAGCGUUAUCCGGAAUUAUUGGGCGUAAAGCGCGCGUAGGCGGUUUUUUAAGUCUGAUGUGAAAGCCCACGGCUCAACCGUGGAGGGUCAUUGGAAACUGGAAAACUUGAGUGCAGAAGAGGAAAGUGGAAUUCCAUGUGUAGCGGUGAAAUGCGCAGGUAUAUGGAGGAACACCAGUGGCGAAGGCGACUUUCUGGUCUGUAACUGACGCUGAUGUGCGAAAGCGUGGGGAUCAAACAGG
rnacentral:rRNA from 1 species